AGUAGGUGGAAAAUAAAGUAAGAAAGAUGACUUUUUGCUAAAAAUGAAAAUAGGCCACUUAUAGUGGGACACCCCAAAAAGGAAUACAAGUCACUUAUCUUGGGACGGAGGGAGUACUUCACAAAAGAAAGUUUACUAUGGAGCUAAAAGAAGUAAAGUAACAAAAGUGAGGAUUUGAUAGAUCUUUUUGAAAGGUUCUCCACAUCAUUCUUGGUCACCACUCCACCACUGCAUGAGAGGUCAAUUUGGAGCAUCUACGGACAGCUCCUUUACAACUAGAUCCCUCAAUAUUUCUCCUAAACCUGCAAAAAAGAUAUGCAAUUUCCAAGAGUAGUAAGUUUUGAUCUUAACAAAUCAAAUGGAAUAAGCUUUUAGCAUGAUUCUGGUAGUAGUCACAAGCAGCCAAGUGCUCUCCCCAAGAUUUUCACCAAAAUGGAAAUAAGAUGAAUACACCAAGGAGCAUGAGCUCAUCCCUCUAGCUCAAAAAGAAAAGAAAUCAGAUUCUCUUGCCUUGUCAAGAAUUAGGAAAUCAGCCAAGAUUUGUCUUUCCCCAAACUUACACCAAUAAGCAAUGAUACUUUUAGCCAAAGCUCAAAAGGAAAGAGAACCAUUUAACUAAAAAUAGGAUGUACAGUUUCCCAAAGCCAGACACAAGCUGUCAAAAUUUUGGCUAUAAAUACCAGCCCCUUCCCCACCCCCUUCCACGCAACAUAUCGAUCCCAAACUUCACCACAAAGUAUGAGGAGGCUAGCAUGAGGAGCAAGGAAUAACAACAAGCUUAAGAUCAGCCACAAUCAUCAAGGUUUCACCAAGUCAAGGUUAUCUCCGUGAGUUAAGGGUGGAGUCAGGAAAAAUUCAAGUUAAGGAGCUUUAAGCGAACGAGGUUGAGCAGUGAUGAAGGCGGGCGGUGUUGAGCAUAAACGAUGAAGAUCCUUCGAUAGAAUAGUACUUGGAUGCAUCGUGUCUCCACACAUGAUGUCAUCUGCUCCUGACUCUUCCGCUGCAAUGUAAGAGUCGAGAUUUCAUUCUCUUGUACCAUGCACUCUGAUUUAUAUAUAUUUCAAGUUAUUUUCAGUUCGA